CAGCUGAGACAGGAGGCAUAAGACAUGGCCAUGCUCCAGCUGUGCUGACUGCGCCUCUGUCAAAGGGACUGGCUUUCUAGGGAGCUCAGGUGAUGAGAUCAGCUCUGCUUGCUGGAGCCCGUUAUCAACAAGGAAAGGAGAAGCAGUAGUGGUCGGAACCUGACCCGGAUCAGCUGAGGCUGAUGGCCUGCUCUGGCCUUGACCCCUUGUCCAGAAGUCAAGAGGUGAAGAAGAAAGCACAGUGCCUGCCUGCCAAGGAGGCACUGGUCAGAAUGACCUGGAAGAACCUGCAGUUUGCAGCUACCUCUCUGCAACUCUGCGGUUUAGAGACAGUGUGCUGAGCCCCCAAGAUCCUGUGAAGCUUUGCUCCUGUUUGCUGUAGGAAUAUUACUUUGUUGGACUAAAAUGUGCUUCCAGGACCCAGUCAAGGAUGAGUAUUAUCGAGCACUAUGUAUCCUGUCUCUGAAUUGGCUACUCUGUGUCACUCAGAUGCCUACAACAGGUGGAAUGGAGCUAGGCUGAAGGGAGGAACCUUGAACUAAAUCCAGCUCUCCACAUGGAGAUGGAGUAAGCAGGGGAGAGAUCUGGAGGAGGAAGUGCUAUGCUGUGCCAGUGCCAAAAACU